UACGUAGGACGCAAGCGUUAUCCGGAAUUACUGGGCGUAAAGCGCGUGUAGGUGGUUUUAUAAGUCACUGUUGAAAGCUCCCGGCUAAACUGGGAGAGGUGCGGUGAGACUGUAGAGCUAGAGUUUGGGAGAGGGGUGCGGAAUUCCGGGUGUAGUGGUGAAAUGCGUAGAGAUCCGGAGGAACACCAGAGGCGAAGGCGGCACCCUGGCCUAAUACUGACACUGAGGUGCGAAAGCGUGGGGAGCAAACAGG
rnacentral:rRNA from 1 species